GAUGAACGCUGGCGGCGUGCCUAAUACAUGCAAGUCGAGCGAACGGACGAGAAGCUUGCUUCUCUGAUGUUAGCGGCGGACGGGUGAGUAACACGUGGAUAACCUACCUAUAAGACUGGGAUAACUUCGGGAAACCGGAGCUAAUACCGGAUAAUAUUUUGAACCGCAUGGUUCAAAAGUGAAAGACGGUCUUGCUGUCACUUAUAGAUGGAUCCGCGCUUCAUUAGCUAGUUGGUAAGGUAACGGCUUACCAAGGCAACGAUGCAUAGCCGACCUGGGAGGGUGAUAGGACACACUGGAACUGGGACACGGUCCAGACUCCUACGGGAGGCAGCAGUAGGGAAUCUUCCCCAAUGGGCGAAAGCCUGACGGAGCAACGCCGCGUGAGUGAUGAAGGUCUUCGGAUCGUAAAACUCUGUUAUUAGGGAAGAACAUAUGUGUAAGUAACUGUGCACAUCUUGACGGUACCUAAUCAGAAAGCCACGGCUAACUACGUG
rnacentral:rRNA from 1 species